AUUGAACGCUGGCGGCAGGCCUAACACAUGCAAGUCGAGCGGAUGAAGGGAGCUUGCUCCUGGAUUCAGCGGCGGACGGGUGAGUAAUGCCUAGGAAUCUGCCUGGUAGUGGGGGAUAACGUCCGGAAACGGGCGCUAAUACCGCAUACGUCCUGAGGGAGAAAGUGGGGGAUCUUCGGACCUCACGCUAUCAGAUGAGCCUAGGUCGGAUUAGCUAGUUGGUGGGGUAAAGGCCUACCAAGGCGACGAUCCGUAACUGGUCUGAGAGGAUGAUCAGUCACACUGAAACUGAAAAACGGUCCAAACACCUACGGGAGGCAGCGGUGGGGAACAAUGGACAAUGGGCGAAAGAGUGAUCAGCCAUGCAGCGUGUGUGAAGAAGGUCUUCGGAUUGUAAAGCACUUUAAGUUGGGAGGAAGGGCAGUAAGUUAAUACCUUGCUGUUUUGACGGUACCGACAGGAUAAGCACCGGCUAACUACGUG
rnacentral:rRNA from 1 species